rnacentral:rRNA from 1 species
UGAUAUGAACCGUUAUAACCGGCGAUUUCCGAAUGGGGAAACCCAGUGUGUUUCGACACACUAUCAUUAACUGAAUCCAUAGGUUAAUGAGGCGAACCGGGGGAACUGAAACAUCUAAGUACCCCGAGGAAAAGAAAUCAACCGAGAUUCCCCCAGUAGCGGCGAGCGAACGGGGAGGAGCCCAGAGCCUGAAUCAGUGUGUGUGUUAGUGGAAGUGUCUGGAAAGGCGCGCGAUACAGGGUGACAGCCCCGUACACAAAAAUGCACAUGCUGUGAGCUCGAUGAGUAGGGCGGGACACGUGGUAUCCUGUCUGAAUAUGGGGGGACCAUCCUCCAAGGCUAAAUACUCCUGACUGACCGAUAGUGAACCAGUACCGUGAGGGAAAGGCGAAAAGAACCCCGGCGAGGGGAGUGAAAAAGAACCUGAAACCGUGUACGUACAAGCAGUGGGAGCCUCUUAAUGGGGUGACUGCGUACCUUUUGUAUAAUGGGUCAGCGACUUAUAUUCUGUAGCAAGGUUAACCGAAUAGGGGAGCCGAAGGGAAACCGAGUCUUAACUGGGCGUUAAGUUGCAGGGUAUAGACCCGAAACCCGGUGAUCUAGCCAUGGGCAGGUUGAAGGUUGGGUAACACUAACUGGAGGACCGAACCGACUAAUGUUGAAAAAUUAGCGGAUGACUUGUGGCUGGGGGUGAAAGGCCAAUCAAACCGGGAGAUAGCUGGUUCUCCCCGAAAGCUAUUUAGGUAGCGCCUCGUGAAUUCAUCUCCGGGGGUAGAGCACUGUUUCGGCAAGGGGGUCAUCCCGACUUACCAACCCGAUGCAAACUGCGAAUACCGGAGAAUGUUAUCACGGGAGACACACGGCGGGUGCUAACGUCCGUCGUGAAGAGGGAAACAACCCAGACCGCCAGCUAAGGUCCCAAAGUCAUGGUUAAGUGGGAAACGAUGUGGGAAGGCCCAGACAGCCAGGAUGUUGGCUUAGAAGCAGCCAUCAUUUAAAGAAAGCGUAAUAGCUCACUGGUCGAGUCGGCCUGCGCGGAAGAUGUAACGGGGCUAAACCAUGCACCGAAGCUGCGGCAGCGACACUGUGUGUUGUUGGGUAGGGGAGCGUUCUGUAAGCCUGCGA